GUGAACGCUGGCGGUAGGCCUAACACAUGCAAGUCGAACGGCAGCACAGUAAGAGCUUGCUCUUACGGGUGGCGAGUGGCGGACGGGUGAGGAAUACAUCGGAAUCUACUUUUUCGUGGGGGAUAACGUAGGGAAACUUACGCUAAUACCGCUUACGACCUACGGGUGAAAGCAGGGGAUCUUCGGACCUUGCGCGAUUGAAUGAGCCGAUGUCGGAUUAGCUAGUUGGCGGGGUAAAGGCCCACCAAGGCGACGAUCCGUAGCUGGUCUGAGAGGAUGAUCAGCCACACUGGAACUGAGACACGGUCCAGACUCCUACGGGAGGCAGCAGUGGGGAAUAUUGGACAAUGGGCGCAAGCCUGAUCCAGCCAUACCGCGUGGGUGAAGAAGGCCUUCGGGUUGUAAAGCCCUUUUGUUGGGAAAGAAAAGCAGCAGGUUAAUACCCCGCUGUUCUGACGGUACCCAAAGAAUAAGCACCGGCUAACUUCGUG
rnacentral:rRNA from 1 species